AUAUUAAAAAUUACAAAACAUAAUAAUUUAAUUAUAAAAUAUAUCAAAUUUAAAAAAAUUAAAAGCCACCCUUCCCUUCCCUUUUUCCCCAUGCUUUGUUUCAUCCAAAACAGAGCCACCCACCGUUCAUUGCCCCUUUUCCCGGUUCUCCACUUCCUCCAAGAACUCCACCACCCCAUCCUUCCCUUCCCAUUCUCCGGCGCCUUUUUUGGAGAGUUCAGGUCAAGCUCAGACAACAGAUCUGAAAAGAUGAAGAUUUAGAAAAAUGUAGAUUUGAAAAAAAAUACCAAUUUUACCAUUUUUGUCAAAGACUUUUAAUUUGGUUGAUGACCCUUCGCUGGAUUCAUUUAUUUUCCUGUAGCAGUGGAGAAAGAUUUGUUGUUGAGAUCCGGUGAAGUUUUCAAGAUUGAUUCUUCUCAGGAAUUUCAAGCAUAUCGGCUAAAAAUCAAGAUAACCAUUUGCUGUGGCUCUUCAUCCCCUGAAUUUAGUAUCUUUACCAUAACCCACAAGGCAGAUAGAAGUCAUGGCACAUUGGCAACGUGUGAUAAUUGCUAAGUUAUCUGUAACAAUUGUAACGAAAAGAUACAGACCCGGGUUCGAUUC